CCAUGCCCAGCUAAUUUUUGUAUUUUCAGUAGAGAAGGGUUUCACCAUAUUGGCCAGGCUAGUCUUGAACUCCUGACCUCGUGAUUCACCCGCCUCAGCCUCCCAAACUGCUGACAUUAACAGGCGUGAGUCACAACACCUGGCCAGGGACUUAUUUCUACCUGGCCUCUUUGAAAUAAAAAUCAUGCUCCUCCUCUGGUUUUCCCCAUCUCAGGAAAUGGGCCCUCCUUUGUCUUGCUGUGGGGGGUCCCCUCCCACAUUCUGGCUGCCUCUCCUUGCCAAUCCCAGCCCAGUCCCCUGCGGGCUGACCCCUGCGGCUCUCUGAGUACCCGUCUUAAGGAGCAUGCCCAGAUGCCCACGCCCAACCCACCUGCUGUGUCACAUCUUUCUUCUUUUUAGGGUCCCUCUGUCUCCUUUAUCAGAAGCAAAGCUGCAUGAGGGCAGGGUUUGUUUUGUUUGCUUGAGAUGAUGUCUUGCUCUGUCUGUCGCCGGGCUGUAGUGCAGUGGCACAAUCUCAGCUCACUGCAAGGGUUGUUUAUCUACUUGGCUCACAGGAAUAGUUGUAGAAAAGAUGAAGGUCGUUCUCUGCUCUCCACAAGCUACAGCCUUGUCCUUGACACAAAGCAGGAGAAAAUGCUGAGAGCUGACCACUCCUGCCUAUGAGGCCCCUUCCUAUCCCCUGGGUCCCUGGUCACUGGAUAAAGCCCAGCUCCACCUCUGACCUGGUCAGCCAAGGCUGGGCUAGCCAAGGCCCGGCAGGGGCCACAAGUUGCCACAUGCAGGGUGGUGGCCAGACAUCAGCCCCAUCCCUGCCCCCUCUUCCCAUACCCCUGUUGUGCGGGGCUCUCUGGAACAGACACCUGCCCAGCCAAAUCCAGCGGUGUGUCCAGGUUGCUAUCACUGCCUGUACCAGCUACUGCUGGGCCAGUGUCCACCCCCAGGCCAGGCUUCCCAAGGGUGCCUAAAUCUGGGUCUCAGCUGCAUCAGCAAGAGGGGGACAGUCAUAAGACCCUCCUCAGCCUCUCAGGAGGACUCUGAGCUCAUCACUGGAAGGCACCUAGAGCCCCAGAGCUCUCUGAACAUGUUAGCUACAGUCAUUUUUGCUAUUUCCCAGGCACUGCUGUAGUCCUGAAAAUACGGGAAUGAACAAGACAGCAAAAUAUCUGCUGCCAUAGAGUGAGAUUAUAUUGUAGUUAGGGAAUGGAAGAAAGUGGAUCUGUAUACAGAUAAUGGAGAAAAAAUU